rnacentral:lncRNA from 1 species
GCUCUGCCAAUUUCCCACAGGCCCUGGGUGCAGGCAACAGCCUACCUGCUAGCAGGAGCCUUAAUUCCUUAGCUACAGACCCCACGGAAAGGCCCCAGCUUUCUCAAGAGAGAUGCUUCAGUUGUAUAGCUGAGAGUCACAAAGGUUUGGAAAAGAGCCCGAGGCCACACAACUGUCACAUGCGUGAUUCAGCAAAGACUCCGAAGCCUCAAAGAUUUGGUCACCACGUCCGGGAGCGAGAUGCCAUCAAAUAGAACUAAUGCUCUCAGGUUUCUAGAAGAGACUCCACAAAUCACAUCAGUGUGAUAGGUUGUAGGCCAGAAAGUUCUCUGGAGAAAUGUCAGACUUUAUAAAGGCAAUGCCAACUAGUGGGCCUAUAAAUUCUUUCCAUUAAAACAGUAACACAUUACUUCUACCUCAAGCAUAUAAACCAUAUAAAUCAAGAUAAUGAUUUUUAAUUACUGAAGAUGUUAAAAAUUAUUCUUCGUAAUAAUUCCUCAUGAUUGAAGAAAACUUUGCUCAUAGACUGAGCUACUUGGCCUGUGUAAGCUGGAAAGUACAGUUAUGUAACACAAGUCAAAGUGAGGGCCUUAUGUGGACAUGCAUCUCAUAAAUGUUAAAAGAAAAAUUAAGGAAGCAAACAAGGCAGAAUAGACAUCUGGGAAAUGGACUCCUAUAUGCUUAUUGUUCUCUGAAGAGUAGUCAGGUCAGCUCCCUAUUAGGAAAAAGGAAAGUGUAGAGGUAGGAUCAGGUCUUCAUCCUUGGCUAGAUGGCCAGUUUGGGUUACUCGGAACCCUAUACUUUGUUACCUCCUUUCAACCUAGCUAGGCUGGCCUCAGACCAUCCGGCCACUGAGACGGAGCCACCUGCUGUGCUGCUUCUCAUCCCUCUCCUUUGUUGUGCCACUACCUGCCUGAGGCCGAACCUGCCCGAGGCCGAACCGGUUCUCCGAGAUUUUCCGGAGUUAGCAAGGAACUGUGAUCGAACUGUGAUCUUCGCUAGUUCCUACUAAAAGGUUGAUCUGACUACUUCAAAGGAACUUUGGGUGACUGGGAAUGGGCCUCCCCUCUUCUUUAUAAAGCGUGUUCCCGGACAUUAAAGUUGAACCUUGAUCAGACUA